GUGUCAGCCGCCGCGGUAAUACGGACCCUGCAAGCGUUAAUCGGAAUUACUCCCCGUAAAGCGCACGCAGGCGGUUGGAUAAGAAAGAUGUGAAAGCCGGGGGCUCAACCUGGGAAUUGCAUUUAAAACUGUCCAGCUAGAGUCAAGUAGAGGGGGGUAGAAUUCCAGGUGUAGCGGUGUUAUGCGUAGAGAUCUGAAGGAAUACCGGUGGCGAAGGCGGCCCCCUGGACAGAUACUGACACUCAGAUGCGAAAGCGUGGGGAGCAAACAGGAUUAGAUACCCCAGUAGUCC
rnacentral:rRNA from 1 species